rnacentral:rRNA from 1 species
CAGCAGCCGCGGGAAUACGUAGGUGGCAAGCGUUGUCCGGAAUUAUUGGGCGUAAAGGGCUCGCAGGCGGUUUCUUAAGUCUGAUGUGAGAGCCCCCGGCUCAACCGGGGAGGGUCAUUGGAGACUGGGAAACUUGAGUGCAGAAGAGGAGAGUGGAAUUCCACGUGUAGCGGUGAAAUGCGUAGAGAUGUGGAGGAACACCAGUGGCGAAGGCGACUCUCUGGUCUGUAACUGACGCUGAGGAGCGAAAGCGUGGGGAGCGAACAGGAUUAGAUACCCCCGUAGUCCCUGUCUCUUAUAC